GAGGGUGGCAGAGCCCAGCCACCAGGGUCUGCUCCAUGCCUGGUCCCUGGAGAGGCCCUCACCCUCUCUGCUUUCACCCAACCCGACUGACACGGAGUAGGAGGUGGGAAUCAUGCAGGCAGGGAGCUUAGGAAGCCUGGUUCAAGAUUGCUUUGAAUGGCAGGCCCCCUGCUGUGCUCCUGGGGAGAGAGCCUGAAACCUGGAUGCUCGGGAGCCCCUCAGAUCCGUCAUCUGUCCCCGACACCCCUGUGGUGAGCCUUGCCACUGGGCCCUGAGAAGCUCAGAGCAGUCGAGUCAGGGCAGUGGGACAUGACCCAGGUCAGAUGUGGCUUUUCCGUAAUUGUACACCAAUGAUCAAGAGAAAAUGAAGGAUUUUAAUAUCCAGGAAGAUCCUCCGCCUCAGUGCCAGGCCACUGCCCACCACAUGGGAGCAGGAACCAGGGCAUGGGCAGGCAGAAGAGCAGGCGGAGUGGCUGAGCUCCUGUCCCGGCUCCCUAAGGUGUUCCCAGUUUGCGGAGGAUUACGUGCCCUCUCAGCCCAGUAGCACACUUUCCAAAUAAGCCAUCAGACUCCUCCCAAGAUCCUGAAACUGAGGCUCAGAGAGCAGAAGCAGCUUGGCCAAAGUCAUACAACUGGUAGUUGGUAAAGGAGCUGGCCUUGAACUCAGGGAUAUCUUGAAAGCCACUGUUGCUUCUAUGGACUCUAGCCAUUCAAAAGACCCCUCACCUUCUAUAAGACCCCAGGAGAUCCUCAGGGUCCAACUGCUCCCUUGAAAACAGGUCCCAGAUAUAUCUGCCAAAGGUAUGAUUAGGUGCCUAAACACAUACCAUGAGAAAGGGAUUCCAUGUCUUCCAAUCCUGCCCAGAGAUGCAGAGACACCACCACCCAGGGAGAG
rnacentral:lncRNA from 1 species